UAGUCUUUAAACAUGGCGGUUGUGUUUCCACUUUGUCUAAAAAUCCGACUGAAGCUUUUAUUUCUGAUAUAAUUAUUUCUUUUUACCAAGCAAUACAUUAUAUAACUCAUAUUCGCAACGGGGCAUUUGUAUAUUUUAUAUUUAAAUGUGUCUUUUAGCCAUAAGUCGACAUUCUCUGUGGAAAAAUUUGUCAAUUUCACACGUGGUCCACGUGUCUACGACCUUUCUGUCAUUUUCUGUGCUCCUGACAAAGAAGGGUGUUAGUUAAGCUAGUGUGGUGUUUAGUUAAUUGGGUGUUUUCUACUUUAGUUCUUCUUGUUAAAUAAUUAUGGAAAGUCAAUGCCACAAAAUAACACAGAGUUCCAAUAUUUGUAAUAAUUUUGGUGGUAAUAAUGAAAUAGAUUGUAUGAAAGACGAAAUAAACAAGACUCGUGAUGUUAAACAUGUUAUUAAAUCAGAAUGUCGAGUUGUUUUGAGAAGAUUGAAUAUUAAAGUAAAGACUGAAGGUUGUGACGAGGUUAUUCAUCUCCCAAAUGAAUAUGAAUAUUUAAAGCUUAUCAAGAAGAAUAAAUUCUUCACUCCUGAGAAAAGAUUUAAGAGAAAUGAAAUGAACAUCCAAAUUAAGAAAAAGGAACAGAGUGAA
rnacentral:misc_RNA from 1 species